GUAGUCUGCAACCCGACUACAUGAAGCUGGAAUCGCUAGUAAUCGCGGAUCAGAAUGCCGCGGUGAAUACGUUCCCGGGUCUUGUACACACCGCCCGUCACACCAUGGGAGCCGGAAACGCCCGAAGUCAGUGGCCCAACCGGAAGGAGGGAGCUGCCGAAGGCAGGGCUGGUAACUGGGGUGAAGUCGUAACAAGGUAGC
rnacentral:rRNA from 1 species